rnacentral:rRNA from 1 species
UACGUAGGUGGCAAGCGUUGUCCGGAAUUAUUGGGCGUAAAGCGCGCGCAGGCGGGAAUGUAAGUCUGUCUUAAAAGUUCGGUGCUCAACGCCGUGAUGGGACAGAAACUAUAUUUCUUGAGUGCAGGAGAGGACAGUGGAAUUCCCAGUGUAGCGGUGAAAUGCGUAGAUAUUGGGAGGAACACCAGUGGCGAAGGCGACUGUCUGGACUGUGUCUGACGCUGAGGCGCGAAAGCCAGGGUAGUGAACGGGAUUAGAUACCCCGGUAAUCCUGGCCGUAAACGAUGGGUACUAGGUGUUGGGGGUAUCGACCCCUCCAGUGCCGGAGUUAACGCAAUAAGUACCCCGCCUGGGGAGUACGGCCGCAAGGUUGAA